GUCGGCUUAUUCAGGUAGAAGGCUACUGGAUUUCAGUGGGAGACAAGGAGCCUACAAUUGAUGAAUCUUACGUUCUGACGUCUCCCGUUAAGCUAAACCUGAAAGAUAUCGUCCGAGUGGUGUCUGCAGGAACCUAUCCUGUACUGAUCCAGGGAGAGACAUUUGUCGGUAAAACAAGCCUGAUCCGCUGGUUGGCUGCAGCUACUGGCAACCACUGCGUGCGGAUUAACAACCACGAACACACGGAUAUUCAGGAAUACAUAGGCUGUUACACAUCCAGCUCUUCCGGGAAGCUUGUCUUUAAGGAAGGUGUUCUUAUUGAUGCUAUGAGACGGGGCUACUGGAUUAUUUUAGAUGAAUUAAAUUUGGCGCCUACUGAUGUGCUGGAGGCACUGAAUAGACUGCUGGAUGAUAA